CCAAACUGUUGCCUCGGCGGGAUCUCUGCCCCGGGUGCGUCGCAGCCCCGGACCAAGGCGCCCGCCGGAGGACCAACCAAAACUCUUUUUGUAUACCCCCUCGCGGGUUUUUUAUAAUCUGAGCCUUCUCGGCGCCUCUCGUAGGCGUUUCGAAAAUGAAUCAAAACUUUCAACAACGGAUCUCUUGGUUCUGGCAUCGAUGAAGAACGCAGCGAAAUGCGAUAAGUAAUGUGAAUUGCAGAAUUCAGUGAAUCAUCGAAUCUUUGAACGCACAUUGCGCCCGCCAGUAUUCUGGCGGGCAUGCCUGUCCGAGCGUCAUUUCAACCCUCGAACCCCUCCGGGGGGUCGGCGUUGGGGAUCGGCCCUGCCUUUGGCGGUGGCCGUCUCCGAAAUACAGUGGCGGUCUCGCCGCAGCCUCUCCUGCGCAGUAGUUUGCACACUCGCAUCGGGAGCGCGGCGCGUCCACAGCCGUUAAACACCCAACUUCUGAAAUGUUGACCUCGGAUCAGGUAGGAAUACCCGCUGAACUUAAGCAUAUCAAUAAGCGGAGGA
rnacentral:rRNA from 1 species